ACUUUUAAAGGAUAGUAGUAAUCCAUCAGUCUUAGGAGCUGAAAAUCUAGGUGCAACCCCAAGUAAAAGUU
rnacentral:tRNA from 1 species